rnacentral:rRNA from 1 species
UCUGUAGGAGGUUUGUUAAAUACGGGGUGAAAUCCCGAAGCUCAACUUCGGAAUUGCCUUGUAGACUGACGGACUGGAGUACCGGAGAGGUAAGCGGAAUACCAGGUGUAGCGGUGGAAUGCGUAGAUAUCUGGUAGAACACCAAAAGCGAAGGCAGCUUGCUGGACGGAAACUGACUCUGAAAGACGAAAGCAUGGGGAGCAAACA